GUCAGCGACCAUAACUACAGGGGUAACACCCGUUCUCAUUCCGAACACGGAAGUUAAGACUUGUGGUGUUAUAGGCUGUACUGCGUAACACGUGGGAACCCUAUAAGUUGCUGACA
rnacentral:rRNA from 1 species